rnacentral:rRNA from 1 species
GACGAACGCUGGCGGCGUGCUUAACACAUGCAAGUCGAACGGAAAGGCCCUGCUUUUGUGGGGUGCUCGAGUGGCGAACGGGUGAGUAACACGUGAGUAACCUGCCCGUGACUUUGGGAUAACUUCAGGAAACUGGGGCUAAUACCGGAUAGGAGCUCCUGCUGCAUGGUGGGGGUUGGAAAGUUUCGGCGGUUGGGGAUGGACUCGCGGCUUAUCAGCUUGUUGGUGGGGUAGUGGCUUACCAAGGCUUUGACGGGUAGCCGGCCUGAGAGGGUGACCGGCCACAUUGGGACUGAGAUGCGGCCCGGACUCCUACGGGAGGCAGCAGUGGGGAAUAUUGCACAAUGGGCGGAGGCCUGAUGCAGCAACGCCGCGUGCGGGAUGACGGCCUUCGGGUUGUAAACCGCUUUCGCCUGUGACGAAGCGUGAGUGACGGUAAUGGGUAAAGAAGCACCGGCUAACUACGUG